GGCCGCGGGAAUUCGAUUCAGGCCUAACACAUGCAAGUCGAACGGCAGCACGGAGCUUGCUCUGGUGGCGAGUGGCGAACGGGUGAGUAAUAUAUCGGAACGUACCCUGGAGUGGGGGAUAACGUAGCGAAAGUUACGCUAAUACCGCAUACGAUCUACGGAUGAAAGUGGGGGAUCGCAAGACCUCAUGCUCGUGGAGCGGCCGAUAUCUGAUUAGCUAGUUGGUAGGGUAAAAGCCUACCAAGGCAUCGAUCAGUAGCUGGUUUGAGAGGACGACCAGCCACACUGGAACUGAGACACGGUCCAGACUCCUACGGGAGGCAGCAGUGGGGAAUUUUGGACAAUGGGCGAAAGCCUGAUCCAGAAGUGCCGCGUGAGUGAAGAAGGCCUUCGGGUUGUAUAUCACAGGGUUAGGGAAGAAACGGUGAGGGCUAAUAUCCCUUGCUAAUGAC
rnacentral:rRNA from 1 species